UGUCUAAGACUUGAUGGCUGCUGUGUCAAUUCCUCGUCACCAGUUAGGAACCAAGGUGUGCUAUUUGAUCGUAAUCUUUCCUUCGAAAGCCACGUUUUUAGCAUUUGUAAAACUGCAUUUUUCCAUCUC